UUAGUACUCCCUCCGUCCCAAAAUUCGUGUCUUACAUUUGUCUAAAUACGGAUGUAUCAAGUCACAUUUUAGUAUUAGAUACAUCCGUAUCUAGACAAAUCUAAGACAAGAAUUUUGGGACGGAGGAGAAAAAU
rnacentral:pre_miRNA from 1 species